rnacentral:rRNA from 1 species
AGAGUUUGAUCAUGGCUCAGGACGAACGCUGGCGGCGUGCCUAAUACAUGCAAGUCGAGCGCGGGAAGCGGACUCGUCACCCUUCGGGGUGUCUAGUCCGUGGAACGAGCGGCGGAUGGGUGAGUAUCACGUGGGCAACCUGCCUGUAAGAUUGGGAUAACUCGCGGAAACGUGAGCUAAUACCGAAUGAAGUCUUUCACCGCCUGGUGAAAGGAUGAAAGAUGGCUUUUAGCUAUCACUUACAGAUGGGCCCGCGGCGCAUUAGCUAGUUGGUGGGGUAAAGGCCUACCAAGGCGACGAUGCGUAGCCGACCUGAGAGGGUGAUCGGCCACACUGGGACUGAGACACGGCCCAGACUCCUACGGGAGGCAGCAGUAGGGAAUCUUCCGCAAUGGACGAAAGUCUGACGGAGCAACGCCGCGUGAGUGAUGAAGGUCUUCGGAUCGUAAAACUCUGUUGUCAGGGAAGAACAAGUUGUGUUCUAACAGGACAUGACCUUGACGGUACCUGACCAGAAAGCCCCGGCUAACUACGUGCCAGCAGCCGCGGUAAUACGUAGGGGGCAAGCGUUGUCCGGAAUUAUUGGGCGUAAAGCGCGCGCAGGCGGUCCUUUAAGUCUGAUGUGAAAGCCCACGGCUUAACCGUGGAGGGUCAUUGGAAACUGAGGGACUUGAGUACAGAAGAGGAGAGUGGAAUUCCACGUGUAGCGGUGAAAUGCGUAGAGAUGUGGAGGAACACCAGUGGCGAAGGCGACUCUCUGGUCUGUAACUGACGCUGAGGUGCGAAAGCGUGGGUAGCAAACAGGGAUUAGAUACCCUGGUAGUCCACGCCGUAAACGAUGAGUGCUAGGUGUCAGGGGGUUUCCGCCCCUUGGUGCUGGAGUUAACGCAUUAAGCACUCCGCCGGGGGGAGUACGGCCGCAAGGCUGAAACUCAAAGGAAUUGACGG